UACGUAGGGUGCGAGCGUUAAUCGGAAUUACUGGGCGUAAAGCGUGCGCAGGCGGUUUUGUAAGACAGAUGUGAAAUCCCCGGGCUUAACCUGGGAACUGCGUUUGUGACUGCAAGACUUGAGUGCGGCAGAGGGGGGUGGAAUUCCACGUGUAGCAGUGAAAUGCGUAGAGAUGUGGAGGAACACCGAUGGCGAAGGCAGCCCCCUGGGUCGACACUGACGCUCAUGCACGAAAGCGUGGGUAGCAAACAGGAUUAGAUACCCUGGUAGUCCACGCCCUAAACGAUGCCAACUAGGUGUUGGGGAAGGAGACUUCCUUAGUACCGUAGCUAACGCGUGAAGUUGGCCGCCUGGGGAGUACGGUCGCAAGAUUAAA
rnacentral:rRNA from 1 species